UACGUAGGGGGCAAGCGUUAUCCGGAUUUACUGGGUGUAAAGGGGGCGCAGACGGCGAUGCAAGCCAGGAGUGAAAGCCCGGGGCCCAACCCCGGGACUGCUCUUGGAACUGCGUGGCUGGAGUGCAGGAGGGGCAGGCGGAAUUCCUGGUGUAGCGGUGAAAUGCGUAGAUAUCAGGAGGAACACCGGUGGCGAAGGCGGCCUGCUGGACUGCAACUGACGUUGAGGCCCGAAAGCGUGGGGAGCAAACGGG
rnacentral:rRNA from 1 species